UACGUAGGUGGCAAGCGUUAUCCGGAUUUACUGGGUGUAAAGGGCGUGUAGGCGGGAAAGCAAGUCAGAUGUGAAAACCACGGGCUCAACCUGUGGCCUGCAUUUGAAACUGUUUUUUUUGAGUACUGGAGAGGCAGACGGAAUUCCUCGUGUAGCGGUGAAAUGCGUAGAUAUGAGGAGGAACACCAGUGGCGAAGGCGGUCUGCUGGACAGCAACUGACGCUGAGGCGCGAAAGCGUGGGGAGCAAACAGG
rnacentral:rRNA from 1 species